CAGCAAUGUGAUCUAAAGUUGAAGUGAAUUUAAAAAAUAGCUCAACUGAAAGCAAAUUUGACAUGGAUAAAUUAUAUAAUUCAACUAAUUUGGCCUAAAUUUCUACAAGUGUGUGUGUGUGUGUGUGUGUGUGUGUGUGUGUGUGUGUGUGUGGUCUAGCUGA